rnacentral:rRNA from 1 species
CAAACGACACAGGAAUACUUUUGAAAGGAGGUAGCUCUUAGGAGCCUGUGUCGAGGUGCUGCAUGGUUGUCGUCAGCUCGUGCCGUGAGGUGUCGGCUUAAGUGCCAUAACGAGCGCAACCCCCAUCGCCAGUUACCAGCAAGUCAAGUUGGGGACUCUGGCGAGACUGCCGGCGCAAGCUGUGAGGAAGGCGGGGAUGACGUCAAAUCAGCACGGCCCUUACGUCCGGGGCGACACACGUGUUACAAUGGCAGGUACAGAGAGAAGCAAUGCGGCGACGCAAAGCGGAACUUGAAAGCCUGUCUCAGUUCGGAUUGGAGUCUGCAACUCGACUCCAUGAAGCUGGAUUCGCUAGUAAUCGCGCAUCAGCCAUGGCGCGGUGAAUACGUUCCCGGGCCUUGUACACACCGCCCGUCAAGCCAUGGAAGCCGGGAGUGCCUGAAGUGUGCAACCGCAAGGAGCGCCCUAAGGUAAAACUGGUGACUGGGGCUAAGUCGUAACAAGGUAGCCGU